UCUUCUCUUCCUACUUUUUUUUUUCCUCCGCUUCUCUACCUCUGGUCCCGCACGAUCAAACAACCACCACCGCCACCAACAACACACUUGGUCCCGCUGCACUACUGCGAGCGGAGGUGUUGUCGCGCGCGUCGACUAAUUUUCGGACGAACUUUCCGGUUCGGUGUCUUGUAUUGGACUGUGCAGAAGUGGCACCUUCCAGUUUCUGAACUUACAUCUUGUCAGAUAUCGACGAUUCACUGCUACUGCAAAUAAAAUAUUUGAGGGAAAGCAGAGAAUCCAGGAGAAAAUUCCGGUACAUCGCAUUUGUGUAUCGCGUUACGCAUCGGAUCAAAAUAUCAAAGGUAUAAGCCUCAUCCUGUAUAUAUGAGGAAGACGGAGCUAAUUGCGCGCGAAUGCACAAGGGCAGCAACGGCCUUACGAGGGUUCCUCGUCGAUACGCGUACAUAGGGGAGAGAAAGGGAGAAGAGAGAAAGAAAAAAAGAAAGAAGAACGGAGAGCAGAAUGACGAGCUAGGGGGAAUCGAUCGGUCAUUACCAUAAUUUGUAUAUGAGUACCACCUGGAACGCGCGCGCGGUGGCAAUAUCCCAUGGUCAACGACGCUUGCAAACCUUCUUGGAUUUCUUUCUCUCAUUUCUCAAUCUCCGCUACCCCAACUACUUCCUUUGAGAGUACCUAGGCUGCUUGCUAGAUGCGUCUUCGUACAUCCCAUUACGAGCCUCGGAGGCCGUGGAGGAGAGAAACGAGUUCGUAAAAGUACCGGCAAUUGUUGCGACGCCAAUCAUUUGCGGUUAUGCACAAAGUUGCGGAUUUCUGUCGUUCGAACCUCUGAUAAACUGUGCCCACUUUUGCGAAGUGAUAAAUUAUAAUAUAUAGGGUGGGUUGGUGUUGCAACUUAAUAUUAAUCGCUUCGAUAA